UACGGCGGGUGCAAGCACUGUUCGGAAUUACUGGGCGUAAAGGGCGCGUAGGUGGUUAUGCAAGUCAGAUGUGAAAUCCUUCGGCUCAACUGAAGAACUGCAUCUGAAACUGCAUAACUAGAGUACAGGAGAGGGAAACGGAAUUCCCGGUGUAGAGGUGAAAUUCGUAGAUAUCGGGAGGAACACCUGUGGCGAAGGCGGUUUCCUGGCCUGAUACUGACACUGAGGCGCGAAAGCGUGGGGAGCAAACAGG
rnacentral:rRNA from 1 species